rfam:Gossypium hirsutum cultivar TM-1 chromosome 7, whole genome shotgun sequence
GCAUCUAUAGAUUGUUUAAAGCGUUCAACUUAUAAUUGAAAUGAAUUCGUAGCUUUAAUUCCUACUAGAUGCA